AGCGAGCGGAACUAACAGAUUACUUCGGUAAUGACGUUAGGAAAGCGAGCGGCGGAUGGGUGAGUAACACGUGGGGAAUCUGCCCCAUAGUCUGGGAUACCACUUGGAAACAGGUGCUAAUACCGGAUAAGAAAGCAAGAUCGCAUGAUCAAGCUUUUAAAAAGGCGGCGUAAGCUGUCGCUAUGGGAUGGCCCGCGGUGCAUUAGCUAGUUGGUAAGGUAAAGGCUUACCAAGGCGAUGAUGCAUAGCCCGAGUUGAGAGACUGAUCGGGCCACAUUGGGGACUGAGACACGGGGCCCAAACUCCUACGGGGGGAGGGGCAGCAGUAGGGGGAAUCUUCCACAAUGGACGACAAGUCUGAUGGAGCAACGCCGCGUGAGUGAAGUAAGGUUUUCGGAUACGUAAAGCUCUGUUGUUGGUGAAGAAGGAUAGAGGUAGUAACUGGUCCUUUAUUGACGGUAAUCAACCAGAAAGUCACGGCUAACUACGUGCCAGCAGCCGCGGUAAU
rnacentral:rRNA from 1 species